rnacentral:rRNA from 2 species
CUUUGGCUCACGAUGAACGCUGGCGGCGUGCUUAACACAUGCCUGUCGAACGAAGCACCUUAUUCUGAUUUCUUCGGAAUGAAAAAUUUGGUGACUGAGUGGCGGACGGGUGAGUAACGCGUGGGUAACCUGCCUCAUACAGGGGGAUAACAGUUAGAAAUGACUGCUAAUACCGCAUAAGACCACAGCACCGCAUGGUGUACGGGUAAAAACUCCGGUGGUAUGAGAUGGACCCGCGUCUGAUUAGGUAGUUGGUGGGGUAACGGCCUACCAAGCCGACGAUCAGUAGCCGACCUGAGAGGGUGACCGGCCACGUUGGGACUGAGACACGGCCCAAACUCCUACGGGAGGCAGCAGUGGGGAAUAUUGCACAAUGGGGGAAACCCUGAUGCAGCGACGCCGCGUGAGCGAUGAAGUAUUUCGGUAUGUAAAGCUCUAUCAGCAGGGAAGAAAAUGACGGUACCUGACUAAGAAGCACCGGCUAAAUACGUGCCAGCAGCCGCGGUAAUACGUAUGGUGCAGGCGUUAUCCGGAUUUACUGGGUGUAAAGGGAGCGUAGACGGAGUGGCAAGUCUGAUGUGAAAACCCGGGGCUCAACCCCGGGACUGCAUUGGAAACUGUCAAUCUAGAGUACCGGAGAGGUAAGCGGAAUUCCUAGUGUAGCGGUGAAAUGCGUAGAUAUUAGGAGGAACACCAGUGGCGAAGGCGGCUUACUGGACGGUAACUGACGUUGAGGCUCGAAAGCGUGGGGAGCAAACAGGAUUAGAUACCCUGGUAGUCCACGCCGUAAACGAUGACUACUAGGUGUCGGGCAGCAAAGCUGUUCGGUGCCGCAGCAAACGCAAUAAGUAGUCCACCUGGGGAGUACGUUCGCAAGAAUGCAACUCAAAGGAAUUGACGGA